rnacentral:tRNA from 1 species
GCUUUCGUGGUGUAGUGGUCAGCAAGUUCGACCCGUAACCGAGAGGUCCGUGGUUCGAUUCCCGGCGAGGGCG